ensembl:rRNA 5S_rRNA 5S ribosomal RNA
CUCUACAGCCAUACCACCCUGAACGUGCCCAAUCCCAUCUAGAUCUGAGGGUAAGCAGGGUCGGGCCUGGCAAGUACUUUGAAGGAAGCAGCCUGGGGAGGUGGAGA